rnacentral:rRNA from 1 species
GGCUGGAAAUCAAGUCGAGAGUGAAAUCCAACGGCUCAACCGUUGAACUGCUCUCGAAACUGGUUACCUAGAAUAUGGGAGAGGUAGAUGGAAUUGGUGGUGUAGGGGUAAAAUCCGUAGAUAUCACCAGGAAUACCGAUUGCGAAGGCGAUCUACUGGAACAUUAUUGACGCUGAGGCAUGAAAGCGUGGGGAGCAAACAGGAUUAGAUACCCUGGUAGUCCACGCCCUAAACGAUGCACACUAGUUGUUGCGAUGCUAGUCAUUGCAGUAAUGCACUUAACAGAUUAAGUGUGCCGCCUGGGGAGUACGGUCGCAAGAUUAAAACUCAAAGGAAUAGACGGGGACCCGCACAAGCGGUGGAGCAUGUGGUUUAAUUCGAAGAUACACGAAGAACCUUACCUGGGCUUGAUAUCCUAAGAAUCCUGUAGAGAUAUGGGAGUGCUAGUUUACUAGAACUUAGAGACAGGUGCUGCACGGCUGUCGUCAGCUCGUGUCGUGAGAUGUUGGGUUAAGUCCCGCAACGAGCGCAACCCUCGUGAUUAGUUGCUAACAGUUCGGCUGAGCACUCUAAUCAGACUGCCUUCGCAAGGAGGAGGAAGGUGAGGACGACGUCAAGUCAUCAUGGCCCUUAUGCCCAGGGCUACACACGUGCUACAAUGGCUAGGACAAAGAGAAGCGAUACUGCGAAGUGGAGCAAAUCUUAAAACCUAGUCUCAGUUCGGAUUGGAGUCUGCAACUCGACUCCAUGAAGCUGGAAUCGCUAGUAAUCGUAGAUCAGAUAUGCUACGGUGAAUACGUUCCCGGGUCUUGUACUCACCG